GCGUUAUAACUGAAAUGAGAAGGCGGACUGGGGCAGAUAUUCGAGUCUCCCCCAAAAAUGAGAAGCCAAAGUACACAGCUGAUGAUGAAGAACUCGUGCAGAUAUCUGGAAAUAAGGCUGUUGCAGAGGAGGCACUUUUUGAGGUUGCAUCAAGGCUUAGAACAAGGACCCUCCGCCCUGGGAAUGCUCCCAUAAACCCUGCUGCUUCAGGCCCACUUCAUGGAAUUGCUCCUUCAGAAAAGAGGCCUGGUAUGAG
rnacentral:misc_RNA from 1 species